rnacentral:rRNA from 1 species
CGUCGUCUAAGGUCCCGAAGCGUGUGCUAAGUGGGAAAGGAUGUGGAGUCGCAUAGACAGCCAGGAGGUUGGCUCAGAAGCAGCCAUCCUUGAAAGAGUGCGUAACAGCUCACUGGUCUAGUGGUUCCGCGCCGACAAUGUAGCGGGGCUCAAGCACACCACCGAAGACGCGGCAGCGGCCUUUGCGGCCGUUGGGUAGGAGAGCGUCCCGCGUGGGGCGAAGCGGCCGGGGAACCGUGCCGUGGACCGCGCGGGAGUGAGAAUGCAGACAUGAGUAGCGAGAGACGGGUGAGGAUCCCGUCCGCUGGAUGACCAAGGGUUCCGGGGCCACGUUCGUCGUCCCCGGGUGAGUCGGGUCCUAAGGCGAGGCCGACAGGCGUAGUCGAAUGGAUGAACGGGUGGAUAUUCCCGUACCGGCGGCGUACCGUAAGAGCCGAACGGAUGAGUACUAACCUCCGGUCGCGUGGCGUCGUUCCCUUCGGGGUUCGGGGUCCGCGGUCGUUGGGAGCGUAGUCCUGGUAGGCUAGCGCACAGGGGUGACACGGAAUGGGAGCCGGCCGCGGAGGUGGUUUUCCGUGGUCAAGCACGCAGCCCGUCCCAUAGGCAAAUCCGUGGGACGCAUAGGGUGAGGUGUGAUGAUGGGCGUCCUUUGGACGCGAUAUCCGGUGGUCCAGGCCGUCGAGAAAAGCCUCGGCGCGAGGGGCGUCGCCGCCCGUACCCCAAACCGACACUGGUGGUCAGGUAGAGAAUACCAAGGCGAUCGAGCGAAUCCUGGUCAAGGAACUCGGCAAAUCACUCCCGUGCCUUCGGUAUAAGGGAGACCCCCGGGCGUGAAGAGGCUUGCCCUCGGAGCGUUGGGGGGUGGCACAGACCAGGGGGUAGCGACUGUUUACCAAAAACACAGGUGCAUGCGAAGGCGCAAGCCGCUGUAUAUGCACUGACGCCUGCCCGGUGCCGGAAGGUUAAGAGGAUCCGUCAGCCCCUUUUGGGGUGAAGCGGUGAAUUCAAGCCCCGGUAAACGGCGGUGGUAACUAUAACCAUCCUAAGGUAGCGAAAUUCCUUGUCGGGUAAGUUCCGACCUGCACGAAUGGCGUAACGACUUCCCCACUGUCUCGACCAGGAGCUCGGCGAAAUUGCAGUACGAGUAAAGAUGCUCGUUAAGCGCAGAAGGACGAAAAGACCCCGGGACCUUUACUAUACCUUGGUAUUGGCGUUAGGCGCGGAUUGUGUAGCAUAGGCGGGAGGCUUCGAAGCAUGGGCGCCAGCCCGUGUGGAGCCGCAAGGUGAAAUACCGCUCUGUUCUCGUUUGACGUCUCACCUCGAACAGUCAUCCUGUUCAGGGACAGUGCCUGGCGGGUAGUUUAACUGGGGCGGUUGCCUCCCAAAGAGUAACGGAGGCGCUCAAAGGUCCGCUCAGCCCGGUUGGCAAUCGGGUUUCGAGUGUAAUCGCACAAGCGGGCUUGACUGCGAGAACGACGGUUCGGGCAGGGACGAAAGUCGGAGAUAGUGAUCCGGUGCCGGCGCACGGGCGCGGCAUCGCUCAACGGAUAAAAGGUACCCCGGGGAUAACAGGCUGAUCAUUCCCAAGAGUCCAUAUCGACGGGAUGGUUUGGCACCUCGAUGUCGGCUCGUCGCAUCCUGGGGCUGGAGCAGGUCCCAAGGGUUCGGCUGUUCGCCGAUUAAAGCGGCACGCGAGCUGGGUUCAGAACGUCGUGAGACAGUUUGGUCUCUAUCCUCUGCGCUCGUUGGAAUCCUGAGGAGGCCUGCCCAUAGUACGAGAGGACCUGGGUGGACGGACCUCUGGUAUGCCGGUUGUCGCGCCAGCGGCAUGGCCGGUUGGCUACGUUCGGGAGGGAUAACCGCUGAAAGCAUCUAAGCGGGAAGCCUGCUCCAAGAUUAGGAUUCCUUGACGCUCCCCGGAGCGCCUGUAGCCCGCAUGUUGAACACGUGUUCGAUAGGCCGGAGGUGGAAGCCCCGCGAGGGGUGGAGCCGACCGGUACUAACGGGCGAACGCGGCACACU